UGGGGAAUUUUGGACAAUGGGCGAAAGCCUGAUCCAGCAAUGCCGCGUGUGUGAAGAAGGCCUUCGGGUUGUAAAGCACUUUUGUCCGGAAAGAAAUCCUUGGCUCUAAUACAGUCGGGGGAUGACGGUACCGGAAGAAUAAGCACCGGCUAACUACGUGCCAGCAGCCGCGGUAAUACGUAGGGUGCAAGCGUUAAUCGGAAUUACUGGGCGUAAAGCGUGCGCAGGCGGUUUGCUAAGACCGAUGUGAAAUCCCCGGGCUCAACCUGGGAACUGCAUUGGUGACUGGCAGGCUAGAGUAUGGCAGAGGGGAGUAGAAUUCCACGUGUAGCAGUGAAAUGCGUAGAGAUGUGGAGGAAUACCGAUGGCGAAGGCAGCCCCCUGGGCAAGUACUGACGCUCAUGCACGAAAGCGUGGGUAGCAAACAGGAUUAGAUACCCUGGUAGUCCACGCCCUAAACGAUGUCAACUAGUUGUUGGGGAUUCAUUUCCUUAGUAACGUAGCUAACGCGUGAAGUUGACCGCCUGGGGAGUACGGUCGCAAGAUUAAAACUCAAAGAAUUGACGGGGUCAUAGCUGUUUCCU
rnacentral:rRNA from 1 species